rnacentral:snRNA from 1 species
GGAUGUGAGGGCGAUCUGCCUGCGACAUCUGUCACCCCAUUGAUCACCAGGGUUGAUUCGGCUGAUCUGGCUGGCUAGGCAAGUGUCCCCUUCCUCUCUCACCACUCCAUGUGGUGCACACUCAGUGGAAGAGGACAAUGUCCCAGGUAUAGAAGGAGUGUGCCGAGGUCUCCAGUCUUCGAUCCUGGGUAUACGAUAGCUGCGCUUCCCUAAUAGAACCUCCAAACUGUAUUAAUUCUACAGUGCAGAUACACCCUGUGAUACCUGUUGUGAUGAGCUGAUUUAAGAUUCCAAAUUACAGCAGCAGGAAGUUGUUCUGCCCUCACUG